AGAGUUUGAUCCUGGCUCAGGAUGAACGCUGGCGGCGUGCCUAAUACAUGCAAGUCGAGCGGCAGCGAAGGGUGCUUGCACCCUGUCGGCGAGCGGCGGACGGCUGAGUAAUACGUAGGAACGUACCCCAAAGUGAGGAAUAACUGCCCGAAAGGGUAGCUAAUGCCGCAUGUGCUCUAAGGAGUAAAGCUUCGGCGCUU
rnacentral:rRNA from 1 species